rnacentral:tRNA from 1 species
GUUUCCGUAGCUCAGCAGGAUAGAGCACUCGCCUCCUAAGCGAGGGGUCGUGCGUUCGAAUCGCAUCGGGAACG